rnacentral:rRNA from 1 species
AUGAACGCUAGCUACAGGCUUAACACAUGCAAGUCGAGGGGCAGCAUGGUCAUUGGCUUGCCAAUGAUUGAUGGCGACCGGCGCACGGGUGCGUAACGCGUAUCCAACCUUCCCGAUACUCUUGGAUAGCCUUCCGAAAGGGAGAUUAAUACAAGAUGGUGUUUCACUUUCGCAUGUUAUUGAAACUAAAGAUUUAUCGGUAUCGGAUGGGGAUGCGUGACAUUAGAUAGUAGGCGGGGUAACGGCCCACCUAGUCUACGAUGUCUAGGGGUUCUGAGAGGAAGGUCCCCCACACUGGAACUGAGACACGGUCCAGACUCCUACGGGAGGCAGCAGUGAGGAAUAUUGGUCAAUGGUCGAGAGACUGAACCAGCCAAGUAGCGUGAAGGAUGACUGCCCUACGGGUUGUAAACUUCUUUUGUUUGGGAAUAAAUGAUACUACGUGUAGUAUUUUGCAUGUACCUUACGAAUAAGCAUCGGCUAAUUCCGUG